UGCUCCGACUCCUCGCAUGGGGUGUCGGGAAAGAUUUCAUCGGUAUGGGAUGGGGUCGCGUCCUAUCAGGUAGUCGGCGGGGUAACGGCCCACCGAGCCUACGACGGGUAGCCGGCCUGAGAGGGCGACCGGCCACAUUGGGACUGAGAUACGGCCCAGACUCCUACGGGAGGCAGCAGUGGGGAAUAUUGCACAAUGGGCGCAAGCCUGAUGCAGCGACGCCGCGUGCGGGAUGACGGCCUUCGGGUUGUAAACCGCUUUUGAUCGGGAGCAAGCCUUCGGGUGAGUGUACCUUUCGAAUAAGCACCGGGCUAACUACGUGCCAGCAGCCGCGGUAAUACGUAGGGUGCAAGCGUUAUCCGGAAUUAUUGGGCGUAAAGGGCUCGUAGGCGGUUCGUCGCGUCCGGUGUGAAAGUCCAUCGCUUAACGGUGGAUCUGCGCCGGGUACGGGCGGGCUGGAGUGCGGUAGGGGAGACUGGAAUUCCCGGUGUAACGG
rnacentral:rRNA from 1 species